GUGCCAGCCGCCGCGGUAAUACGAAGGGGGCUAGCGUUGUUCGGAAUUACUGGGCGUAAAGCGCACGUAGGCGGACAUUUAAGUCAGGGGUGAAAUCCCAGAGCUCAACUCUGGAACUGCCUUUGAUACUGGGUGUCUUGAGUAUGGAAGGGGUAAGUGGAAUUGCGAGUGUAGAGGUGAAAUUCGUAGAUAUUCGCAGGAACACCAGUGGCGAAGGCGGCUUACUGGUCCAUUACUGACGCUGAGGUGCGAAAGCGUGGGGAGCAAACAGGAUUAGAAACCCCUGUAGUCC
rnacentral:rRNA from 1 species